rnacentral:lncRNA from 1 species
UAAAUUAGGUAUAUCUGAUUUCUUUGAUAUGGGUAAGCUAGGGGAGUUCCACUUUCAAUCCUUUUCCAUAUGUGGCCUCUCUUAUAAUAAGAGGUUUGCUUUAUUAAUUCAUUCUUCCCUCUCAUUUUCAGUAUCAUCUUCUCUAUCACCCAAAGCCGAAAGCAUUUGGAAAUUUGAAAAUUUUCUCAGAACUUAUGGUGCUUAAGUGCUGCUGCUGCUGCUGCUACUGUUUUUGUGCUCAACAGCCUUCAGUGAAAGACAAAAGGAUUUAAGCAAAAAAAAAAGACAAAAGGAGGGGAAGUCGAGAUUUGGACAGAUAAGUAUACGAGAGCUUUUAUACGAGUGCUUUUAGCGAGGACAAAAAUGAAAGGAAGAGAAACGUAGAGCAUUUAUUCCUCUAGGUUGGGCCUACAUGAUCAAUUGGUAUGCAAGCCGAAGCCUGGUACGGCUGAGCCCAAGCAUGUGCGAUGCACGUGCAUGUAUGAACAGCUGUGAUUGUGGUUCGACUGAAAAAUUGGAAAAAAGAGACACCCAGGUGUGAGAGGAGAGGGAUGUAGAAUAUAUCUCUCUCGUGAAGAAAUAUUUGUAGAGAAUUAAUUUUAGUGAAGAAAUACUUGUAGAGAAUUAAUUUUUAGUUAAAUUAAAAGAAGUGUUGGGUAUAUAAAAACUUUAAUUAGAAAAGGAAAUUUUUUAUUCUCACAGAAGAACUUCUUUUAUUUCUGAGCCCCUGUUCCUCUCUCUUCUUCUUUGUCCGUCCCUUGCUCAGGCCCUAACUUUCAUCCACUAUAUUUCAGCACUCAGCAGUGACUCUCUCACCUCUCCCUCUCUUCUUGGCCCUCGAAAACGUCAUCACCUGCUCCUUUCUGAUCCCGAUGCUUAAAUGGUGGUGGUUGAGAUUUAUUUGAGAGCGUUGAUAAUGCUCGUGGUUGGAACUCUGUCAUGAAUCCAAUGGCCUUGAUAGCACUAAGGUAAAGUAAGUCAUUUCACUUGGCUCUGCAAUUUGACCUGUGACAUUGGUUUUAUGCUUGUGGACAUUUCAUACGGUUUCAUGCAUAAGAUAUUCAGCAUUGGAAUCCUAGACAAAGGGCAAUAGAUUGUUGGAAGUCAUCUUGGUUUUCGCUGUAUUCAGCAUAUAAAACCUUUCAUUACAAUCAUUGAGUGUUUCAUGAUCAAAGAAGUGACAAAAGAAUACAUUCGGGGUCCAUCAUUGAAUUCAAGCUGUAGCUUAGCACAUAUAUCAGUAGUUGCUGCUGCU